UCAUUUGCAUAAAUUUUCAUAUAUUUUGGUGAAAAUAAUAGACUAGUGGAGAGCGGGGCUUAGUGGAGUCAGUGCAAAGGAAAAUCUUAACAUGGAUCGUUUCGCUGGAGUUGAGAACAUGCUUUUUCCCCCCUGUCACCUUAUUAAAAUCAAAAAUUAAAAAAAUUCUCUAAAUCCUGGAAGUUUGAUCGGCUUCUGCCCCUGGUUUUAAUCCAAAGGAACUGCUUUUGGAGCUGGUGUGUCCGGCUUUGGUGUUUGCCGGCUGAGGAAGAGGCUCACUCUUUUCUUCAGUCUUGGUAUGUGGAUUUCUCUCUCUUCAAGUAAUUUCUUAGCAUACCCUUGAAUGGCAUCUACCACACAUAACUUUUUCAGCCCACAAGGCUGAAACAACUUCCCUUAACUGAAAUGACCCCAGCACAGCUAUUCUCUAGAAGACACCCUCCUUGAUUUCUUGGGAGGCCCAUAAGAUGACUGAGGUUUUAGAGCAGCAAAGACUUGGAACAGACAUCACUCCUGUUGGAAACUUCUGUUGACUGCAGUGUGAGUUGGAGGGGACCCAGAGAAACCAAAUACAGACAAGUGACGAUGAGUUGGCCACACAAGCAAGGAAAAUCACAGAUAACAGAUCUGGUGUAGAGCUGAGCACCCUUAAUGUCUUGUCACCAAAAGCCUUUCCUGACGUGUCCAGGGGAAAGCUGCAAGCAUUCUGAACAGGCCACAGGAAUGUUUCAGCUACCUUCAGCCUCAUCCGAUGAUGGUUAAUGAUCUCGCCUAGCUCGAUCUUCUGUGCACCAGCAGGGACUUCUUUAAAUUGGUCAACUGUAUAGAGCAUUGUUUUCAAGUUUAAUGUGCUUGGAAUUAACCUUAUAAAAUAAUGGCCUAACUAAAGACAGAUUAUAUGCAUAGCACAGACAUGUAUGUGUGCAUUUAGAUGUGCAUAUGUGUAUACAUGUGUUUAUAUAUGUAAGUGUACACAUAUGUAUGGAAAUGCUGAUGCUAUUCACCUUUUUGAAAUCUUUACAGCUAGUAUUAACACGAAUGUGCUGUUAAAUUGGCAGUGUUAUACAUUUUUGUUGGAACUUACUUCUGUAACAUAAAAUCAUAAAGAUAAGCUGUGAAACUCGUGCAGCUGAUGACAUAAUUCUAGAAUCUCGUGAUGCUGAAUCUCAUAUUUCUAGGAGUGUGGGAUGGAUGCUCCUCGCUGAAAUAAUUAUACUGCCUAUUGCAAUACAUGUUUCAUUGUUUUUAUGUGGGCACUGAGAUAUCCAAAUUAUUAAACAUAUAUGGUACAAUGAGUCCUGUGUUCCUUAUAUAUUCUAAAGAAGGCAAUUAAUUUCUAUGGUUUUAUUGUAUAAUAAAGCAAACUACUCUAAGAAUCUCUUAUGAACAUAGCAAUAAUCUGUGACAAUAUGCAUAUUUACUUUUAAUAAUGAUGUCCAAAUAUACAUAUGUGCAUAUAAAUAUGCAUGUAUGUAUAUACAAACACUCACAGAGAGACAUAUACACAAAUCAAAUGGAACCAAUUAGAAUGUGGCAUAAGUAGAUUCAGAGCUUACCUGUUAUGGCUGUGUGAAGGCAUAAUUUGAGCUACAAGGACGUGCAAGAAAGCAUAGCUCAAUAUACUCCAUUGGCUCAUUCUCAUGAUGCUCAGGCUGUGUGCUGACGGGGUACCAGCAGACAUUCAUAAUGACAGCUGGUUCAAAACAGAGCUUUCAAAGUAGUGCAACACCCCUAACUUCCUUCCAAAUCCUGGUGUUUGCCAGCACUUAGCUGAGGCUGGUUCUUAAGGUCAGAUGUUCAGAUAUAAGUUAUUCAGAAAGAAUCUAGUUCUUUAUGUUUGAACUCUAUAUAUGUUCAACAUAUAGGCUUUAUUCUUUUGCCCAUGAAUUUGCAUUUGAGCUCAUGCAUAGAUUAUGCUUGUCUACUACCCAAAAAAUGAAGAAUGUUUCUCCCUGAUACUAUACACUAUUUGCCUGGGAUGUCCUCUCUCAAUUUCUUCACUCUCUUGUGGGCUGCAUAAACUGAGAUUCUGAUGGCAGUUCUUUCUUUUUACUGGGUCCGAAAAAUCCUUCAGCUGCUACGUUGAGAAAGGAAGGAAAAGCAGCUUUACUUUAACAUAACCCUUAUUACACCACCUAUGCUCAACCAACCAGGAACAUAACAAAAAAAGCCCAACUAAGCUUCAGUUGUUGUGUGUGACUUUUCCUUUUUGUGUGGAUGGGAAUAGAAUCUGGAAAUACCCAUGCUCCUUCUUGGGAGAGAAAAGCAAACAGGUUUUAUCUAUUUGCAAUUGAACUCAGAGAAAAAUAGCCAGGCAUGGAAAGCACACUUGAAGGUAAGACAUGAAUAUAAGUAAAGAUAAAUUUCACUAUGCUAAAUUCAAGGAAAAUGUGUCACAUUAUUCUAAUUAUUACAGAGAACAUGUGCUAAUUAAUUGUUACACUGUGCUGGUGCAAGAGUUGAGUGUUCUACAUGAAACAAAUGGAGGAGCUGACCCUGGGAUGCUGUUGACUCUUGUUUAGAAGCUGGCAUGUGAGGGGCAUGCCAUGAAUGGCCUUGUGAAAAUGAGACUGGUGAGCUGAUUUGGUCUAAGAAAUUACUUUUCAGAAGGGUUAGAAAAAUAUUUUAAAUCUAUGCUAAAUUUUAGUCAUGCUGGAUGACUGGACUGCUGAGUGUGUGCAGUAUACUCAAAAGCAGUUUUUUGUUUACCAUGACACCUGGGGAACCCAAGCACUAAGUGACAUUCCUUCAGAGGAAUUCAGACAACACUGCUAUUUGGGCAUCUUCAGUGCUGCCAGGACACUUCUCUGUAGAUGAAAUCAAGGAGACCUGAGCAUCAGGGGAUUCAGAAAAGCACUGACCAUGUGCCCAUCACUCUCUUUUGGAUCUGCUCAUUUCUGGGAUAUUGACCCUGCUUUAGUUGGAGGUGCAUCUGGGGAGAUGUUGAGGGGAGCAGGGUAGGUCUGUCCUCAUUUCUGGAGGUCUGUGCAGGGUUGUUUCCCUGCAGCAGGCUUGCUUGGCUUACAGACACCCAUCCUUCUAGCUCCAGCCUGGUAUGUGUGAGCAGUGUUGGCCGUGCUCACAGGCUGGCGAUGCUCCUGUUUGCCAUCAGCCUUCCCUCCUGGAUCAGGGCCGCUACCGAUUGCUGAGGGGUGGCCAGGAGCAGCUCCCUCUGGUGAAACUCUUUUGUGCUUUUAUCUCCCUCUUCUUGGCAGUGAGCUGCCACUGGCUCCCAGCCAUGGCUCUCUCGCCCUCCCCAGUGCCCAGCUUGCAUGCUCAGCCAGUGCCUACAUCUCUUCCAGCAGCUGGCCCUACUCUUCCUCCACAGCUGGCUGCUGCCCCCUACUGUGGUAAUUAUUAUUUAUUAUGGAUAUUCAGUGUACAUUAUGUCCACUGGAGUCCAAUACAGUCUGAAUCACUACCAGGGCCACACUGUGUGGGCGGAAGCACACAGUCAUACAGAGAUGCUUCACGUUGGUAUUCACUUGACUCUCACACAGGGAAAGACUGAGGGGAAAGGGGUGAAGGUGGCUGUUGGCACCUAUUAGCACUAUCUGAUGUGACACCUACUCUCUGUGCCGUGUUACAUGACUCCAGCAACAGCACAGCUGAGCACAGAGCUCCUUUUUCUCCACCUUGCUACCAGUAGCAGGUCUCCUGCUAUUACUUUUACCUAGCUGGAAAUACCUGAGGUGUUUUCCAAAAGUCAUGGUUGCUACAUAAUCACAGUUUAACUCCCUGUUGCUGUGAAUGCAGGUAUUGCUUGGCACAGCAUGGCUAUGUGGGAUACCAUUUUCUUUCCUAUUUCUCUCCAUCACCUUCCUCUCUGAGUUUCAUGCCAGUUCCUUUGUUCAUGUGUCCCUCUCUUUACACUUCAACAUUCCUUCACACCCUGCCUCCCUGAAGACAUCACCUUCAGCUAAAAACAGAGGGCUGUAACUCUCACUACUUAGAGCACAGGCAAAAGCACCUGGAGGGAGAAGCAGCUUUUUGUACAUUUGGAAAAAUACAGAGUCCUGGACAUAGUCCACACAUAUAUGUGCACGUGUGAGAGGCAGCUGUGGUGAAUAGCGUUAGCCUUGUUCAAGGAGGUGGAGCAAUACUGCUCCAUGGCAGCUGAGGAUCUGUCCCAGUAUGUAAAUGUAAAUAUCUAUUUUUACAAACCCUCCUACAGUUUGCUUUAAAAAAAAGCUUUCUCUUUAGACACUGGAAACAUACAAGCCUGUCAGAAGUGUCCCACUUUCUAUAUUUUCUCUAAUUCCUACCUGUGACUUCCUUUGAAAGCUUUCGAAAUCUAAUGAAUUCAAGAGACAAAGUGAAUUAAAACUGAAGAUGCUUUGCCUUCAGUACACUUGGCCUAGUCUAUAGGAAC